rnacentral:rRNA from 1 species
CCCUUAGAUGUUCUGGGCCGCACGCGCGCUACACUGACAGAGCCAGCGAGUUCUUUUUCCUUGGCUGAAAAGUCAUGGGUAAUCUUGUGAAACUCUGUCGUGCUGGGGAUAGAGCAUUGCAAUUAUUGCUCUUCAACGAGGAAUUCCUAGUAAGCGUAAGUCAUCAGCUUGCGUUGAUUACGUCCCUGCCCUUUGUACACACCGCCCGUCGCUACUACCGAUUGAAUGGUUUAGUGAGAUCUCUGGAUUGACGCUGGCUAGGGGGCGACCCUUGGCCAGACUGUUGAGAAACUGCUCAAACUUGAUCAUUUAGAGGAAGUAAAAGUCGUAACA